ensembl:snRNA U6 U6 spliceosomal RNA
GUAUUUACUUUGGCAGCACAUAUACUAAAAUUGGAACAAUACAGAAAAGAUUAGUGUGGUCCCUAUGCAAGGAUGACAUGCAAAUUUGUGAAGUGUUCCAUAGUUUU